GACGAACGCGGCGGCGUGCCUAAUACAUGCAAGUAGAACGCUGAAGGAAGGAGCUUGCUCUUUCCGGAUGAGUUGCGAACGGGUGAGUAACGCGUAGGUAACCUGCCUGGUAGCGGGGGAUAACUAUUGGAAACGAUAGCUAAUACCGCAUAAUAGCAGUUAUUGCAUGAUAACUGUUUGAAAGGUGCAAAUGCAUCACUACCAGAUGGACCUGCGUUGUAUUAGCUAGUUGGUGGGGUAACGGCUCACCAAGGCGACGAUACAUAGCCGACCUGAGAGGGUGAUCGGCCACACUGGGACUGAGACACGGCCCAGACUCCUACGGGAGGCAGCAGUAGGGAAUCUUCGGCAAUGGACGGAAGUCUGACCGAGCAACGCCGCGUGAGUGAAGAAGGUUUUCGGAUCGUAAAGCUCUGUUGUAAGAGAAGAACGAGUGUGAGAGUGGAAAGUUCACAACUGUGACGGU
rnacentral:rRNA from 1 species